rnacentral:rRNA from 1 species
AGAGUUUGAUCCUGGCUCAGAACGAACGCUGGCGGCAGGCCUCAAACAUGCAAGUCUAGGGGGUGUAGCAAUACAUCACCGGCGGACGGGUGCGUAACACGUGGGAAUAUACCUUUUGGUUCGGAACAACGCAGGGAAACUUGCGCUAAUACCGAAUGUGCCCUUACGGGGAAAGAUUUAUCGCCAAAGGAUUAGCCCGCGUAGGAUUAGCUAGUUGGUGAGGUAAUGGCUCACCAAGGCUCCGAUCCUUAGCUGUUCUGAGAGGAAGAUCAGCCACACUGGGACUGAGACACGGCCCAGACUCCUACGGGAGGCAGCAGUUGGGAAUCUUGGACAAUGGGGGAAACCCUGAUCCGAGCCAUGCCGCGUGAGUGAUGAAGGCCUUCGGGUUGUAAAACUCUUCG